GAUGAACGCUAGCUACAGGCUUAACACAUGCAAGUCGAGGGGCAGCAUUUCAGUUUGCCUGCAAACUGGAGAUGGCGACCGGCGCACGGGUGAGUAACACGUAUCCAACCUGCCGAUAACUCGGGGAUAGCCUUUCGAAAGAAAGAUUAAUACCCGAUGGUAUAAUCAGACCGCAUGGUCUUGUUAUUAAAGAAUUUCGGUUAUCGAUGGGGAUGCGUUCCAUUAGGCAGUUGGUGAGGUAACGGCUCACCAAACCUUCGAUGGAUAGGGGUUCUGGGAGGAAGGUCCCCCACAUUGGAACUGAGACACGGUCCAAACUCCUACGGGAGGCAGCAGUGAGGAAUAUUGGUCAAUGGGCGCAGGCCUGAACCAGCCAAGUAGCGUGAAGGAUGACUGCCCUAUGGGUUGUAAACUUCUUUUAUAUGGGAAUAAAGUUUUCCACGUGUGGAAUUUUGUAUGUACCAUAUGAAUAAGGAUCGGCUAACUCCGUGCCAGCAGCCGCGGUAAUACGGAGGAUCCGAGCGUUAUCCGGAUUUAUUGGGUUUAAAGGGAGCGUAGGUGGACAGUUAAGUCAGUUGUGAAAGUUUGCGGCUCAACCGUAAAAUUGCAGUUGAUACUGGCUGUCUUGAGUACAGUAGAGGUGGGCGGAAUUCGUGGUGUAGCGGUGAAAUGCUUAGAUAUCACGAAGAACUCCGAUUGCGAAGGCAGCUCACUGGACUGCAACUGACACUGAUGCUCGAAAGUGUGGGUAUCAAACAGGAUUAGAUACCCUGGUAGUCCACACAGUAAACGAUGAAUACUCGCUGUUUGCGAUAUACAGUAAGCGGCCAAGCGAAAGCAUUAAGUAUUCCACCUGGGGAGUACGCCGGCAACGGUGAAACUCAAAGGAAUUGACGGGGGCCCGCACAAGCGGAGGAACAUGUGGUUUAAUUCGAUGAUACGCGAGGAACCUUACCCGGGCUUAAAUUGCAUUUGAAUAUAUUGGAAACAGUAUAGCCGUAAGGCAAAUGUGAAGGUGCUGCAUGGUUGUCGUCAGCUCGUGCCGUGAGGUGUCGGCUUAAGUGCCAUAACGAGCGCAACCCUUAUCUUUAGUUACUAACAGGUCAUGCUGAGGACUCUAGAGAGACUGCCGUCGUAAGAUGUGAGGAAGGUGGGGAUGACGUCAAAUCAGCACGGCCCUUACGUCCGGGGCUACACACGUGUUACAAUGGGGGGUACAGAAGGCAGCUACCUGGUGACAGGAUGCUAAUCCCAAAAGCCUCUCUCAGUUCGGAUCGAAGUCUGCAACCCGACUUCGUGAAGCUGGAUUCGCUAGUAAUCGCGCAUCAGCCAUGGCGCGGUGAAUACGUUCCCGGGCCU
rnacentral:rRNA from 1 species